AGCGGCGGUACGGCCAGCUCCCCAUUCACUUCCCCAGGGCCGGAAGGCAGCAAGGAUAAUGGGUUGUAGCGGCGCGAUACCGCCUUUUUU
rnacentral:SRP_RNA from 1 species